rnacentral:rRNA from 1 species
UACGGGGGGGGCAAGCGUUGUUCGGAAUUACUGGGCGUAAAGGGCUCGUAGGUGGCCAACUAAGUCAGACGUGAAAUCCCUCGGCUUAACCGGGGAACUGCGUCUGAUACUGGAUGGCUUGAGUUCGGGAGAGGGAUGCGGAAUUCCAGGUGUAGCGGUGAAAUGCGCAGAGUAUCGGGAGGAACACCCGUAGCGAAGGCGGUACUCUGGGCCGAAACUGACGCUGAGGAGCGAAAGCGUGGGGAGCGAACAGG